rnacentral:rRNA from 1 species
AGCGAACGCUGGCGGCAGGCUUAACACAUGCAAGUCGAGCGGGCACUUUCGGGCGUCAGCGGCGGACGGGUGAGUAACGCGUGGGAACGUGCCCUCUGGUUCGGAAUAACUCAGGGAAACUUGAGCUAAUACCGGAUACGCCCUUUUGGGGAAAGGCUUGCUGCCGGAGGAUCGGCCCGCGUCUGAUUAGCUAGUUGGUGAGGUAACGGCUCACCAAGGCGACGAUCAGUAGCUGGUCUGAGAGGAUGAUCAGCCACACUGGGACUGAGACACGGCCCAGACUCCUACGGGAGGCAGCAGUGGGGAAUAUUGUACAAUGGGCGCAAGCCUGAUCCAGCCAUGCCGCGUGAGUGAUGAAGGCCUUAGGGUUGUAAAGCUCUUUUAUCCGGGACGAUAAUGACGGUACCGGAGGAAUAAGCCCCGGCUAACUUCGUG